rnacentral:rRNA from 1 species
CCGGCGCACGGGUGAGUAACGCGUAUGCAACUUGCCUAUCAGAGGGGGAUAACCCGGCGAAAGUCGGACUAAUACCGCAUGAAGCAGGGAUCCCGCAUGGGAAUAUUUGUUAAAGAUUCAUCGCUGAUAGAUAGGCAUGCGUUCCAUUAGGCAGUUGGCGGGGUAACGGCCCACCAAACCGACGAUGGAUAGGGGUUCUGAGAGGAAGGUCCCCCACAUUGGUACUGAGACACGGACCAA